GUGGCUCAGUGGUAGAGUGCUUGUCUCGCAUGCAUGAGGCUCUGGGUUCAAUUCCUCAGC
rnacentral:tRNA from 1 species